rnacentral:rRNA from 1 species
GACGAAGGAUGCAAGCGUUAUCCGGAUUCAUUGGGUUUAAAGGGAGCGUAGGUGGUCUUAUAAGUCAGUGGUGAAAUCUCCGGGCUUAACCCGGAAAUUGCCAUUGAUACUGUAGGACUUGAGUACAGAUGCCGUUGGCGGAAUAUGACAUGUAGUGGUGAAAUACAUAGAGAUGUCAUAGAACACCGAUUGCGAAGGCAGCUAACGAAACUGUAACUGACACUGAGGCUCGAAAGUGCGGGGAUCAAACAGG